CUAUCUUUACGCUAAUUUAAUAUUUUCUUUUGUGCCUACUAUACGUGUAGGGUAGGAUUUUCGCUCACAAGCACUAUAAACGAUGUUGCAAUAUACAAUACAACAAGAUUUUGAGGAUGAUGUCCUGCUCAUCCUGAUGAUCAGCAGUUUGAUUGCUUGUGUGCUGCUUGGGUCGACUGUGACAAGUACACCAGAUGAUCCGGCGAUCUCCGAAAACUCCGCAGAGAGAAAUGUUGUGGCAACCUAAAAAUCCAUGCUCCAUAAAAUGAUGGAGGAAAAAGAAACAGGCAACGAGAGAUUCCGUCCAGUACCGGUUGAAGAGAAUGGCACCGAAGGCUUGAGAGAGAAAAUCAGCAAUUUUUUACGCCAGAGUAUGUUGUCUAAGAAAGCUGAUAUUGUAUAGCGCAUUGGGAGACCGAGAAGUUGCAUUGGCCCGAACUUUAUGAACUGUCUAAAUUUUUCUUGGGAAUCCCUGUGACGCGAUCAAGUGUCGAGAGAUUGUUCUCUCAUCUGAAAUGCAUGAAGAACAAUCUGAGACAGAAACUUAAAGAGGAACUCAUGCAAGCAAUUAUGGUAGUGAGAAUGUAUCGUCAUGAUGGCAAAAUUUGCCCCACGAGAAAGCGAAAUAGAGUGGUCGGUGUAGGUGUACAUGACAGUUAUAAUUUUAUUAGUUCAUAAAGCAUUUCAUUUUUAAUCCGUGAUUAGAAAAUAUAGUUGUGUGCCUUACAGCAACGACUGAUAUGUUUCAGUUUUCUUACGAGGACUUUCUUUGUCAUGGACAGUUUUACAGAAAACACCGUAAUCUAUACCAGGAAAUGUGUACUUUUAACUGAAGAAGAAUUCACCCAAAUAUAAGCUCGUCACGAUUUGUUAGGUAUUGUUAUUUUUUGUUUUUUUCUCUUUUUAACAUUUCCUUGAAGAGCUUUCUCAAUAGGGCAUGCGAUUGAUGUAGUCAAAUGAAGUAUUCCCUAAAUUGAAAUGGUGAUAGUAUAUUUUGACUGCAGCAAUUACUGUGUACAAGUGUUGUGAUUUUGUAAUAUGUAAGUAAACCUUUCAUGAAAAGCU
rnacentral:lncRNA from 1 species